AUGAACGCUGGCGGCGUGCCUAAUACAUGCAAGUCGAGCGAACGGACGAGAAGCUUGCUUUUCUGAUGUUAGCGGCGGACGGGUGAGUAACACGUGGAUAACCUACCUAUAAGACUGGGAUAACUUCGGGAAACCGGAGCUAGUACCGGAUAAUAUUUUGAACCGCAUGGUUCAAAAGUGAAAGACGGUCUUGCUGUCACUUAUAGAUGGAUCCGCGCUGCAUUAGCUAGUUGGUAAGGUAACGGCUUACCAAGGCAACGAUGCAUAGCCGACCUGAGAGGGUGAUCGGCCACACUGGAACUGAGACACGGUCCAGACUCCUACGGGAGGCAGCAGUAGGGAAUCUUCCGCAAUGGGCGAAAGCCUGACGGAGCAACGCCGCGUGAGUGAUGAAGGUCUUCGGAUCGUAAAACUCUGUUAUUAGGGAAGAACAUAUGUGUAAGUAACUGUGCACAUCUUGACGGUACCUAAUCAGAAAGCCACGGCUAACUACGUG
rnacentral:rRNA from 1 species